rnacentral:rRNA from 1 species
GACAGAGGUGCCGAGCGUUAGGCGGAAUCACUGGGCUUAAAGCGUGUGUAGGCGGAUGCCUAAGUACCUUGUGAAAUCCCACGGCUUAACCGUGGAACUGCUCGGUAUACUGGGUAUCUUGAGCCACUUAGGGGCGACCGGAACAAACGGUGGAGCGGUGAAAUGCGUAGAUAUCGUUUGGAACGCCAAUGGUGAAAACAGGUCGCUGGGAGUGUGCUGACGCUGAGACACGAAAGCCAGGGGGAGCGAACGGGG